rnacentral:misc_RNA from 1 species
UUUCCGUAGGUGAACCUGCGGAAGGAUCAUUAUCGUACAAAAUGUGAGGGGCAUGCGAGGGCUGUCGCUGACUCAAAAGUCGUGCACGCCCGAGUGUGUCCUCUUGCAUAAUAAUCCAUCUCACCCUUUGUGCACCACCGCGUGGGCACCCUUCGGGAUCAUCUCGGAGGGGGGCUCGCGUUUUCACACAAACCCCCCUUUUAAAAGUGUAGAAUGACCACAUUUAUGCAAUCAAUACAACUUUCAACAACGGAUCUCUUGGCUCUC